rnacentral:rRNA from 1 species
GCGCACGCUGGCGGCAGGCCUAACCCCUGCCAGUCGCACGGAUCCUUCGGGAUUAGUGGCGGACGGGUGAGUAACACGUGGGAACGUGCCCUUUGGUUCGGAACAACUCAGGGAAACUUGAGCUAAUACCGGAUGUGCCCUUCGGGGGAAAGAUUUAUCGCCAUUGGAGCGGCCCGCGUCUGAUUAGCUAGUUGGUGAGGUAACGGCCCACCAAGGCGACGAUCAGUAGCUGGUCUGAGAGGAUGAUCAGCCACACUGGGACUGAGACACGGCCCAGACUCCUACGGGAAGCAGCAGUGGGGAAUCUUGCGCAAUGGGCGAAAGCCUGACGCAGCCAUGCCGCGUGAAUGAUGAAGGUCUUAGGAUUGUAAAAUUCUUUCAGCGGGGACGAUAAUGACGGUACCCGCAGAAGAAGCUCCGGCUAACUUCGUG